rnacentral:RNase_P_RNA from 1 species
GAUCGAGGCAGUCGCUGUCGCUGCUGCGACAGAGGAAAGUCCGGGCUCCACAGGGCAGAGCGCCAGGUAACGCCUGGAGGGCGCGAGUCCAUGGAAAGUGCAACAGAAAAGAUACCGCCUAGAUUGAUAGGUAAGGGUGAAAUGGUGCGGUAAGAGCGCACCGCGGUGUUGGUAACAACAACGGCAUGGUAAACCCCGCUUGGAGCAAGACCAAAUAGGAGGGCAGGCGCGAGCCACAUGUGGUCCACAUGGUCCUCGGGUAGGUCGCAUAAGGUGUUUGGUGACAAAUAUCUCAGAUGAAUGACUGUCCACGACAGAACCCGGCUUACUGAUUAACUCU